CGCCAUGGUGACUUGCAAGCAACUCACUGCACUUAGGCACUGGACUACUUGAAUUUUUAAUUCAGUGACGGAAGGCUGCUGGGUGUAGUCAAGUACUUGACUUAUCGAUGCGUGUGUCAAGAUGGGAUUGACCACUCUAGUUUAGGAGCUGUGUACAGUCAUAUUUCAAUUUAGCAAAACCUUGGUCAGAGUAGUCCUUGUGAGGAGUCACAGGACUGUUUGAGUUGAGCACGAUUUGGAUGAUCUGAUCAAGGUUGAUAGUUUAACCCUGAGUCAUCCUAAACGCAGGGGUCAAAAGGAUGAAUUAUACAGUAACCAUAUUCAUGUAGGUUCUGAGUGUUGUGAUUAUGACUCUUCGAUCUAUCCGAACGUCGGGUACCAUUGCUAGAUGGUCACUUCGAUUAGUAUAGAAAUUGGUUCCUAUGUUACUGGCUUAGGUUCGAACCUGCGGGGUCACACACAUUAGAGAUUCCUAUCUGAUCUGAUGGCUGGUGUAGAAUCCUACAUAUUUAAGACUCAGUGAUCGAGAAUCAAGAUUCUCUGAUCAUGAGUUCCACACAUUAUGGGUACCGAGGUCAAGAGUCCCACUGGUUGGGAUUUUUCGAUCAGGAUUACAUAUCGAUGAAUUCUGAUGCCCGAUUGCCCAUCAAAUUUGGACUUAGUAUUUAUGAGAGGUUUAAUUAGUGAUUUGAUCACUAAUUAACUCAAUUUGAUUGAGUAAUUAUUUUUGGAUCAAGUCCAAUUGAAUUGGAUUCAGUUGGGUUUGACCCGAUUAGUUUAAGAGUUGACCUAAUCGUCAAGAUGGUUUGGUCCCUGAUUUGAUCAGGAGUUGGGCUUAGUCAAUUUUUGAUUUGAUUAGGAUUUUAUUGAGCUUAAUUAAGCCUAAUUUAGUUGGAUUUAAAUUAGUCUAAUUGGACCUAACUUAUUUGGUUCAAUUAGGUUGGUUUAAAUAAUUAAACCACCUUGACCCAAUCUCCAUGCGCCACCUCACUUCCAUUGCACCCAUUUGAAUUCAUGAGAAGAAACUUCUCAUGAAUUUUUU
rnacentral:lncRNA from 1 species